rnacentral:rRNA from 1 species
GACGAACGCUGGCGGCGUGCCUAAUACAUGCAAGUCGAACGCAGUGGGGACGGGUGAGUAACACGUGGGUAACCUCCCAUCAGAGGGGAUACCACUUGGAAACAGGUGCUAAACCGAUACUGAUGGAUGGACCCGCGGUGCAUUGGCUAGUUGGUGAGGUAACGGCUCACCAAGGCCACGAUGCAUAGCCGGUCUGAGAGGAUGAUCGGCCACACUGGGACUGAGAAACGGCCCAGACUCCUACGGGAGGCAGCAGUGGGGAAUCUUGGGCAAUGGACGAAAGUCUGACGGAGCAACGCCGCGUGAGUGAAGAAGGUUUUCGGGUUGUAAAACUCUUUUGUUAGAGAAGCGUUAUCUAACCAAAAAGCCCCGGCUAACUACGUGCCAGCAGCCGCGGUAAUUC